CGGAAUCGAUCGAACAAAUGAAUAUCUUAAGAAAUAUAUUUUUGAGAUAUUGCGCUUUUAAAAUAGGUAAUAAUGAUUUUUGAAAAUUUAUUACAUAUAUACUUUUUUUUUCUUCGAUCAAACAUAAUAUAUUUGUGUAUUCUAGUUUUGAAGUUCAUCAAUCGACUUGUUUAAGCAACGCCGUUGGGAUAGAGUGCGAUAGAUGGCUUGUGGGCCUUAUGAAGUGCGUAGUCUAUGCUCGUCAUAGUCAAGAAGGCAUUGUCGUUCGGAAUGUUAGUCGCGAGUGUCGUCUCGUGUAGUCUCCUGUUAUAUCAUAAUAAAUUCGCAUUCGUUUUCGGGAAACUAGUUCGAAUUUGUGUCAUUGUGAACUUCUGAGAUGAUUAGAGGUUGUUGAGAAAGUGCUAGGUUUAGGAAAUAGUGGUGAGGCGAGAAUAUUCGAAAAAUCAUUUCGAACGCAUCGACAAUAGCAACCGUUCUCGUGCGUUACGAGGGUCUUUGUCGAAUCGGUUAUUCUUUUAUCUCGGGAAGUGUAGUGCGGGUGGCAGGAGUUUUACGUAUAAGUGUGAUUUUAUUCAGUGCUUCCUCGGGUUUCAGUGUAUUAUUGGUUGUGCCAGUGAUGUUUUUCAAAAAAUAUAUAUUUGCAUUGAAACAAGAAAUUUACAAUGAGAAGACAAGAUGGCGGAAAUGUGUAAGGCGGGAACACAGGACAGUACGCAUCUAACUGGCUGUCGUUUCGUUGACGGGAACUGCGAUCGGUACACAGCAUUGCUUCUCUACUGUCAGUCUUAUGUGUGCGAGGAGGAGUACCGUCGGUUGAAUCGCAUAGACGUGAGAGUACCGACAGGAAGGGGGUGAGGAACCCUCGUCUGGUGCAUAGGCGUAGCCUACGUGUCUCCCUUGCAACUCUAACCGGGUCAAACCGAAACUGGAGAACCAAUCUCUUCCUUAACCAACAUAUUCUGGCCGUGGUAACCGAAAACCCUUUUGCCACCUUUCGUCCAAAAUAUCCAUUACACUGCCAGCAGUGGACACGUGAAAAAGUAUUGGACAUUUUACUUUGAAAUAUUUAUCCAUACUUUAUUAUGCACUUUACAUGUCCGUAUGUAAUGUGUUCGGUCAUCGGACUAUUUUUUUUUUAAUUUUGUUCCAGCAGAUUCUUUUUUUU